rnacentral:rRNA from 1 species
GUAACGGAAGUAGCUUGCUACUAGACGACGACCGGCGCACGGGUGAGUAACGCGUAUGUAAUCUGCCUUGUACAGAGGGAUAGCCCAGAGAAAUUUGGAUUAAUACCUCAUAGUAUUACUGGAUCACAUGAUUUGGUAAUUAAAGCUCCGGCGGUACAAGAUGAACAUGCGUGACAUUAGCUAGUUGGUAAGGUAACGGCUUACCAAGGCUACGAUGUCUAGGGGUUCUGAGAGGAUGAUCCCCCACACUGGUACUGAGACACGGACCAGACUCCUACGGGAGGCAGCAGUGAGGAAUAUUGGUCAAUGGACGCAAGUCUGAACCAGCCAUCCCGCGUGAAGGAUGACUGCCCUAUGGGUUGUAAACUUCUUUUAUAU